rnacentral:rRNA from 1 species
GACAGAGGAUGCAAGCGUUAUCCGGAAUGAUUGGGCGUAAAGCGUCUGUAGGUGGCUUUUCAAGUCCGCCGUCAAAUCCCAGGGCUCAACCCUGGACAGGCGGUGGAAACUACCAAGCUGGAGUACGGUAGGGGCAGAGGGAAUUUCCGGUGGAGCGGUGAAAUGCGUAGAGAUGUGGAGGAAUACCGAUGGCGAAGGCAGCCCCCUGGGAUAACACUGACGCUCAUGCACGAAAGCGUGGGGAGCAAACAGG